GAUGAACGCUAGCGGCAGGCUUAAUACAUGCAAGUCGAGGGGCAUCACGGGUAGCAAUACCUGGUGGCGACCGGCAAACGGGUGCGGAACACGUACGCAACCUUCCCAAAACUGGUGAAUAGCCCUCCGAAAGGAGGAUUAAUACACCGUAAUAUAAUUGAGUGGCAUCAUUUGAUUAUUAUAGCUCCGGCGGUUUUGGAUGGGCGUGCGCCUGAUUAGGUAGUUGGUAGGGUAACGGCCUACCAAGCCAACGAUCAGUAACUGGUGUGAGAGCACGACCAGUCACACGGGCACUGAGACACGGGCCCGACUCCUACGUGAGGCAGCAGUAAGGAAUAUUGGUCAAUGGACGCAAGUCUGAACCAGCCAUGCCGCGUGCA
rnacentral:rRNA from 1 species